GCGGGUGUAGUACAACGGUUAGUAUGCAAGUUUUCCAAACUUGAGACGUGGGUUCGAUUCCCUCUACCCGCACCA
rnacentral:tRNA from 1 species